AUUGAACGCUGGCGGCAGGCUUAACACAUGCAAGUCGAGCGGGGUGAUGGUGCUUGCACUAUCACUUAGCGGCGGACGGGUGAGUAAUGCUUAGGAAUCUGCCUAUUAGUGGGGGACAACAUCUCGAAAGGGAUGCUAAUACCGCAUACGUCCUACGGGAGAAAGCAGGGGAUCACUUGUGACCUUGCGCUAAUAGAUGAGCCUAAGUCGGAUUAGCUGGUUGGUGGGGUAAAGGCCUACCAAGGCGACGAUCUGUAGCGGGUCUGAGAGGAUGCUCCGCCACACUGGGACUGAGAAACGGCCCAGACUCCUACGGGAGGCAGCAGUGGGGAAUAUUGGACAAGGGGGGGAACCCUGAUCCAGCCAUGCCGCGUGUGUGAAGAAGGCCUUAUGGUUGUAAAGCACUUUAAGCGAGGAGGAGGCUCUUUUGGUUAAUACCCAAGAUGAGUGGACGUUACUCGCAGAAUAAGCACCGGCUAACUCUGUGCCAGCAGCCGCCGUAA
rnacentral:rRNA from 1 species